CUAUGCUAGGACUUCUUCCUUAAUUCUACACUUUUGUCUUUAUUUAGGUUUCCUUAUAAGCCUUCUUACAAAAGGGGGAAAGAGGUCUCUUUUGCUAGCUGAGCACUGUUCACAACCCUCCUACUCCCCUUUCAAUUCUUGAUAUUAAAAUCUAUUUUCCCCUUCCAGACAAAAGGCAUGUAUAAAGGAUUUCAGCGACUUUGAGAUAACAAAGGCGCCACCAUUGCAGAGGUUCGCCCCGCCUCUGUGUGAUGGCAAACAAAUUCUUGCACUUGUAUUAGGGCUUUUAAGGCUAUAAUUGAACACGGCGCGUCUAGGAGAACCGAAAACAGUUCUAGACUGACCUGCGGUUUUAUAGCACUUUUGGCAGUCAACUUCAGCUUGUGUCAGAACAGACAUGACAGAGCUGACCAACGGAUAAUCGGGAGACACCACCUACUUGGAAUCGCGGCAGUCCCCUUAAUUAAAUACAUCUCAAACCUGGGGGAUAGAACAGGCUGCAGUUCUGAGGGGGGAAAAAGGUUUGUAUGUGGCUAUUUCCUGCUCCUAUUUACAUCCCCUUUCUGUCGUGCACUUAAAGACUCUGCCUUUCUGUUUUCAUGGAUGCCUAUCUGAAACAAAGGGAAAUCACGGGAUGAAGGCGAGAAGGCAAUUAAUCAUGCAAAUCCAGUCGUCAUUAGUAUUAAAAGACCCUGCCCAAGCUACGCAGGAUAUGUAGGUUUAGUUGUGCUGCUUUGCUGUGUAUUUUCCCAGGCACUUAUCCCGUUAGAACGCACCGUAAGGCAGGAGAAAACAAAAUGCAGCCUGACAAAUGAUUACAUCUGUAGAACAAUUAGAAACGAUUAUUGAAAAGAUUUAAGGGUUGCAGCUCGCGUAAGAAGAAGCAGACACUCAAGCAGAGUUAGUUCUCUGCUUUAUUUGCUGCUAAGUGAAACAGACAGAAUGUGAGCGUAAAGCCCCGGAAUGCCUGGUACUUGGGACUAUCCGCGUUUAGGAAGCAAAUAAAUCCGCGCAUUGCCGCUGCUAACCUCAGUGAGAAGCGCAUACACAAAAGAAGGCGUUGCAUUUUGAGAAGCAAAAUGAAUUCAUUCCUCCCUCACAAGUGUCUCGUCCGGCUUAGAAAGGGCAACGUGUAUGUUCGUGUUACAUGCCUUGCAACUGCACGGCAGGACAUUCUAGAUACAUUUUACAAUGGACGCAAAUAUCUACUAGGUGAACAGACUUUAUGAGCGCAUUGGCCCAUGUCUAUCUACACAAAGCGACGGGGAAUUAAUCCAUACUUUGGAAGGACAUAAACAAACCUAGGAUUUCACGUCUAGAGUUUGUAUAUAUCUGGUGUGCAGAAAGAAUUUCUUUUUAAAAGGUCUCAAAAAGGUCAAGUUCUAGAAUGUGUAAAAUGUUGACACUUUGUAUUAUAUUUUCUGGGGUUUUCAUAAAAACAAAUGGCACUAUAAUUUAUCUUAAAUAUCGGGUUGGGUGCCUGUAUUUCACAGUAUAAAUGUACACUAAGUAGAAUUUAUGCGUAAAACGAAUUAACUAAAAUAUUACACCUUUAUUCAUUUUCUAAAAUGUCCGCCUUUUGAUUGAAUGUUUAUAUUUCCACAAUUAUGCACAAAUUAAUUAUUAGAACUUAUAGCUAUUGCACGCUUUACUUCAUAUAUGUAUAUGUAAAUAUGCAAUUAUUAUCUUAGGGCAAUAUGAGGAAAUAUGCAAUAUAAUUUAGCUAAGGAAAACCUCAUAACUUCUUCCUUUCUAAUGAAAAUGUCUCUAAGGGUGCAAAACCAGGCAAAAUUUAUCUCAAAUGUAAUUGUUUAAGUUUCCUGCCAAUCGUUUGGAUUAAACGUUAUUUAAGAUUUAUUGAUUCUCUAAUCAACUGUUUUUCUCUUUUCCUUUUGGGCCACUGUACUGAAGUAUGCGGUAAUAAUCCAAAUAUAGUUUGUCACCUAAACACAUUUCUUUAACAUUUUUAAGGAAAAUAAUCGUAGCAAUAUUUUGAUAAUAGAUUUCAAACACUAAUAAUUCUGCUAUUACAGCUAGUAGGGACAAAAAAGCAAGAUACAUUUCCAAGAUUUUGAUAUGGAAUAGUCCACUUUAUUGCUGAAAACCAGGCGCUACCAUCAUUGUAGUCAUACUAUAGAGGUUCAGAUUUAUAUAUAGAAAGCAAGCAAAUGUAAAUGCAGAAUUCAGUCACCGUUAAAUUGUAGUCUUGUUUGGCAUAUUUAACGGCAUUAAAUUAAUUAUGACGAAUAAGUUUUUUAAACAAUUUUACUUACAAGGUCGAAUAUUGUACAUUAUUUUAUUAGCAUUGAACAUUUUGUUCUUUAAAGCUAUAGCAUGAAAAAGUGAUUUUCCUUUACAGUGGUUUAUUUUAGUACUUAAAUAAGAUCUAUGAAGAGAUUAAUUCAGCUACAUGGAUUUCAGCGUUUAUCAUGAAUAUCUCAUAUCACUUAAAUGCUCGAUAUUGAGUAGCUAUUACUGAAAGCAAAGCAACAUUCCGAUAAUUGUAACAAAUAUGAACAGGGAGGUGUGUCUGUUUUUUUAACAAGGAAUUUAUUCUGCUUAAUAGACUAGUCCCAUACAAAUGUUAUUUUUCUGUUCUUUUUAACCAAAAUAUUAGAUCUUUUUAUAAGACCCUAUAAGCACUUUUCAAAAUGCUGAGUAAUUUCUCUCAAUAUUUUGUUUCCGAAAACGUGUUUUUCUGGAAAAUGUGGAGACCCAGAGUAUAUAUUUGCCGGCAAUGUCAUAGUAUGCUUGUGUACCAUCUGUAAAAGAAUCGAGACAGGGUCAAAAGUAAGGCGGAUAUAAGGAGGUAUUAUAUUGGACGUCUAGGUGUUUCUAAAAUUAUGUGUCGAUGGUACCAUAAAUAUCUUCCCUUCUCGACCUGACUUCACAGCUAUAUUUUCCCAAUACAUUAAAACAUAUAGUAACUAAUGUAUUUCCAUAUAUCCACGUCCAGGUGCCAGAGACUUCUGACAAAUGUGGGGUGCAGGAGUGGGUAUCUAGACCACUUGCUCGAAGUGUAUGCGAAAGCAAAAUUCUUCGCUUGAAAUCCUUUGAUAUAGAAAGCCUUUUGACCGAGUUGCACCCAUAUUCAUAUCCACAGAUGACUAGGAGACUUCACGUCACCUGUAGUAAAUAGGCCCCCAUCACAUUUCAUGCAGAUGUAUUUAAUGUAGAAUUAAUCAGCUUGGUUUAGUGACUAUCUCCAAGAUUUAUUUCAAGAAACCAUGGUCAAAACAAUAAGACUAUACAUCUAUCCUUUUGUAAAUUGCACAGACUCGUAAACUCCUAAUGCCACGUCCGCAAAGGCUUGACCCACAACUAUAUUUGCUUACAACAUGCAUGGUGUCUGGGGUCUCGGAUGCUGGUUAUCUAAACAACAGAAACGACACCGCCGGAACAUUCCAAUGCCCACAUAUAUUUAGAAGUAUUGCCACAGGUGAUGCCUUGAACUUGACCUUAGGUAUGUUAAUCCAUGAAAUACAAGCUGGGGUGGGGGAGAGGCAGGAGAAUAUGUGUAUUGCCUCCUACAGAAGGUUAUUUUGUUGUAUUGGGAUUCAGGGAUAAAACAACGGAGUUCAGUUCUUCUGGCAUACAUAAUCUGUUCUCAAUAUUUCGAUUUUUAAAGACAUAUGCAAUCACAUGUAGCCAUGAGGAGACAAAGUCUUCAUUUUGGUUAUUCUCGGGGACUGAGACCCGCAGUUUGCUGUACACCUUUUAAAAAGUCGGUGACUUGGAUUCUCAAUUAAAUGUACUUCUAGAAUACUCAAUGGUUUUUGCUAAUGCAUGCUGAAUGUUAAUGGCGAUAUAGUAAACGUGUUUUUUUAAAAAUAUUUUGCCCACUCAUCAUCAAGAAUUACCAGAAUUUACAGUGCCAUACUGCUCACUGUACAGGAGAGCCCUACUCAAGAAUUGUGAAACACACCGAAUUAAAGACAUUUCUGCAUCAAGGAUUGUUUCCAGGGGCGGAUACAGGAAGUAUCAUCACACUAAGUCUGUCAAACCAACGACUUCGAAUAUUACCAUAUUGUGAUGGACUAUAAGACAUGCAUAAUAACAAAGGUUACCUGCACUUAUGUAUCUUUUAAAAUCAUAUAUUUGUAUAACACACGUUUAAAAGAAGCUGUGGUUUGCAAAAUGCAAUAGCUUCGCCACACACGUUUUAUGUUUUUCUGUAAGGUCCUCUUCCUUUUUGUGUAUUUUAUCUAACCAAAUAAAAUACAAAAGUACUUAUCCAAAUAUUUUCAGCCCAAAUCCGAAUACGAUUUUCUUGAAUAUUCUGGAUUCACCAUGCUCACUGUAUUGUCAAUUUGCCUUUCCUGGCUCAUGUUUAACAACAAUUCAAACAUCGGUAUAGAUGUAAAUAGAACUAUUUUGUGGAUGUAUCAACUCAACAAUACAUUCUAUAGCACAACAUGUCUGUAAACUUUUCAAACUAAACAAGAAGAUCUCUAGUCAUUCCCUUACCCAUACUUGCUCCCUUCUUUCCAUAUGCUAUUUUUAUUUUGGUAAAGCUGUUUAUAUUUAGACAUAUGUCGACCAUUAGCUACGGCUCAAAGCAACCCAAGCCUUCUUUGUAUUAAGACCUAUUGCUUUUUAUGUCUAUCCAGCGGCACCCCGAACGUGAACAGACUGGCUGAAAAUACUGUGCUUUUCGAUUAUUUCUAACCCAGGCGGCUUAGCGCGGCGGAUUUCUGAUAUACCAAACCAAUCAAGCCACGCUUGGGGAGUCUGAAUCAAGGUGAUUAAAAUUAACUUCGCAUUCAUUUCAAUUCGCCAGCUACGGGAUCCUGUGGAAAUUUAUUUCCGGACCUUCCACAUUCGGCCAAUCCAGACAGGCUAAAUAACCGCCUUAAGGAAGCUAUAAAGAAAUUUGCCCAGUGAUGGACUUUAUUCUUGUAGGGGGCUCCCCCCCCCCCUUAAUUCUGUGGCAAGCUUAAACCGUUACAAAAAGAAGUAAAUGAACAACAAACUCGCUCGGAAAGAAACUCAACCGAUUCCUUUUUCCAUUGCAAUUGAGAAAACGCUAGAGAAACAGACAAAUCCAAAUCCAAUAGUCUGGCCCCUUCAUCAAAUGCGCCUUCUAAUCUUGGAUCAGACUCUAAAACCCUUUGUUGUUUCCACCUAACUCCGCAGCAUCGUUUGGCAAGGUGGAGCCUGGCCCACAAGCGACCAUCACAAUUAAUGCUUUUUGAAAGGACUUGACCCUAACUCAAUCCCCCACACUUCUGAAGACAAAUCUGUACUUCUGGCUGUACCGUGGAGAGAGCUAGAUUGGAGGGGAGCAGGAUGAGGAGAGGGCAGAAGGCUGAGAAACCGCCGCAAAGGCCUUCCCAAUGACAUUGCUGUACGAAGCACCGGCCCGCCACGGGUUUUAAUCCAACCUCAGCAACAGGGAGAGGGAAAACACUGAGCAAGCUCGAGUAAAUAACGU